rnacentral:lncRNA from 1 species
UGUUAGUCGUGCCAUGGGCUUGACCCAUGAGGGUAGCUGUGCCAUGGGCUUAGCCCAUGAAGGUUUUCCUACUUGGUGAGAUAGGUCACAUGCAUCCUUAUAGCUUUUUCUCGAGAAAAUGGGGAAGAAAUGUCUGGAUGAAGAGAAAUAGAGAGAUUUGAUUUUGGUAGGAGCUUGGAGAAGCAUACCCAAGUUAAGAGAACUUGCAGAGGUGGUCUUUGUCAGCAAGAGUUUUACAGAAGGUGUUCCUGAGAA